UUGACUAGGUCGGUCAGUUUUCUAAAUGGCGCACGCACGGCUCAGCUGUGUGUGGCUGUGUGUUUCACGACUCAUCCGCGAUAUGAAAUAAUGCAUUUUACUCUGUUUUUUAUUCAAUUAUUAACCAAGUGCUCGACCGGGACAAAGUGAUAUUAGAGAGAUGGAUUUGCAACAAAUGUAGCAGCUGGAAUCAAUCGGAGAUUCAGUGCCGCAUAGAGAAGGACGGGAGAAUCUUAGCUUUAAUGACCUCACAGACGUGACCGUGGUUGUGAAAGCUUGGCUGUAGGAUUUAGGAUUAUAAAAUGGAGAAUGUUAGAGACGAGGACAGGCGAAGGCGCCUCAGACAUCUUGAGGAGAGGAUAAAAGAUCCUCGCAGUGUCACCAACAUCGAUUGUCUUUUGGACACCGUACAAGCUCUAACCUCGGAUUGCGAUCAUCCGAGCGUCAGACGGAUGAAAAAUGUUGAGGCCUACAUGAACAGAUAUGAUUCAGUUGCUCGAGAUAUAUGUAAAAUGAGGAUGCGAACCGAUGAUUUCACUCUAAUAAAAGUUAUCGGUCGUGGUGCAUUUGGCGAAGUGCAAUUAGUCAGACACAAGUCAACACAGAAGGUUUUUGCCAUGAAGCUGCUCAGUAAAUUUGAAAUGAUCAAGAGAUCGGACUCAGCAUUUUUUUGGGAAGAGAGAGAUAUAAUGGCACACGCCAAUUCUCAGUGGAUAGUUCAAUUGCAUUUUGCGUUUCAAGAUAACAAAUAUCUCUAUAUGGUAAUGGACUACAUGCCUGGUGGAGAUCUUGUCAAUCUCAUGUCAAACUACGAUGUGCCUGAAAAAUGGGCAAAGUUCUACUGCGCCGAAGUUGUUCUUGCCUUAGAUGCUAUACAUUUAAUGGGAUUCGUCCACAGAGACGUCAAGCCCGACAAUAUGCUAUUGGACAAACAUGGCCAUUUGAAGCUGGCAGACUUUGGGACCUGCAUGAGAAUGGAUGCGGAUGGAUUAGUUCGGUCUGACACAGCAGUUGGUACACCAGACUAUAUAUCUCCCGAAGUGCUGCAGUCUCAGGGAGGGGAAGGAGUUUACGGAAGAGAGUGUGACUGGUGGUCAGUUGGUGUUUUUUUAUAUGAAAUGCUCGUUGGAGAUACGCCAUUUUAUGCAGAUUCACUGGUUGGUACAUAUUCAAAGAUCAUGGAUCAUAGGAAUUCGUUGCAUUUCCCGCAGCAAGAAGCGGAUAUCUCACAUGCAGCAAAGAGUUUAAUAUGCAGUUUCUUGACCGACCGUACAAAAAGGUUGGGUAGAAACGGCGUUAAUGAAAUAAAGUGCCAUGCGUUUUUCAAAAACGAUCAGUGGACGUUUGAAAAUCUAAGGGAAUGUGUACCACCUGUUGUACCUGAGCUUUCAGGCGACGAUGACACCAGCAAUUUUGAUGAUGUUGAUAAAGAAGAUGGACCAGAGGAAAGUUUUCCUGUACCAAAAGCGUUUUCGGGCAAUCAUCUGCCUUUUGUCGGAUUCACUUACUCAGGGGAUUACCAGUUGAUGACUGGUACCGGUAGGGAGUCCGUUGAUGGACUCACAAAUCAUAUAAACAACGGAAUCAGUGACGAUGUAAAGAUAUCCCAGUUAGAAAAUUUACUUGAACGUGAAAAACGGCAAGUAGACACACUCGAAGCGAGACAGAGGGCUUUGACGGCCCAACUAGAGGCUGUGACAAGACGAGAGGUGGAACUGCAGGAAGAAACAGGAAGAGCGGACAAGGAAUUGACCCUCCUCAGACACAAUUUUAAAGAAACGCAACGCAGAUCAGAGCACGAAGCGGAAGCCAGACGUAAGGUGGAGGCAUCGUUGAUAGAACUUAAGAAAAAGUUUGAUGAAGAGCAGUCCAAGAGAGCAAGGGAUGCCAGUAACUCUCAUCAAACGUCAGAGAGAAUACUAACUCUUGAAAAACAGCUGAAAGAAAUGCAGGCUAAGCUUGAGAGGGAAACUGAUAGUGCGGGAAGGUUGCGAAAACAAGCUGCUGAAGUUACGGUUGCUAGACAAGCUGCCGAACAAAUGACGAAUGAACUUCAAGUUGCCAGGGCACAACUGCAGGCGCAGAGAGAUGCUCUACAACAGGAAGUUGCAGCUCUACAGGGCCAAUUAUCCAAGGAGCGGAGCUCACGAUCUCAAGCAUCUACCUUGACUGCAGAGCUUGAGACUCGAUUGUCUGCCCUACAUGUAGAACUGGAGCAUAGUCGUCGUCGUGAAGAAAAAGCAACUUUGGAUAACCGGCAAUUGAGCGAGAGAGUUUCUUCGCUAGAAAAAGAAGCUGCAGGACUGACUUUGGAGUUGAAAGCAGCCCAGGCAAGGUACAAUCAGGAAGUUGCAGCCCACCAAGAAACUGAGAGAUCAAGAAUGCUUUCCAAGGAAGAGGCAAACAUGGAAGUAGUUAAAGGACGUGCAGAUAGAACAUUUACAGUAAAACUAAAUGAAGAGAAGAGCGGUAGACAACGAGCAGAACUUCUUGCUCAAGAAAAAGAGCGCCAAACUUCCAUGCUGUCUGUCGACUAUCGUCAAAUUCAACAAAGAUUGCAGAAACUUGAAGGCGAACAUAGACAAGAAGUGGAGAAGGUCAAAGCACUGCAGGGUCAAGUUGAACAGGAGCAGCAGAAGAGAAACGUACUACAAUCAGAAUUUGGGCAACAAUCUUCCGAAGCUGGAAGACUCAGAGCAAGAGAGCAACAAUUGGUUGGCGAAGUAGCUCAUCUCAGGGAAGCUAAAAGGCAAAUAGAGGAAGAAUUGCACCACCUUAAAACUCAGCGAAGUGUAGAUUUGUUGCAAACUAAGGAAUUGCAAGAACAGUUGGAGGCUGAGGCUUAUUUCUCAACACUUUACAAAACCCAGACGCAGGAGCUCAGGGAGGAACUAGACGACAAAACGAGACUUCAGCAAGAAUUGGAAGAAGAACGUUGCUCACUGGUUCAUCAAUUACAGCUGUCACUCGCUCGCGCCGACAGUGAGGCCUUGGCAAGGUCGAUUGCUGAAGAAACAGUGGCAGACUUGGAGAAGGAAAGAACAAUGAAAGAAUUAGAGUACAAAGACAGCAUAGCAAAGCAUCGUCAGGAAUUAAAUGCCAAGGAACAAUCUAUAAAUGUGCUUAAAGAGAACGAAAACGAAAUGAAGAAAACAACAGAGCUAUAUUUAAAAGACAAAGAGGAUUUAAAUAAGCGUUUAAAAGACUUACAAGAGCAACUGAGUAAGGAACAGUCUAAUUCUGAGGAGAUAGAUAGACUCAGUGGUAAACUAAAGACAGAGCAGUUACUUAAACAGCAGGCUGUUAAUAAACUAGCUGAAAUAAUGAAUCGGAAAGACAUAUCGUCAGGUACUAAAACUAGAAACAAAGUUCCUUCAGCUGAUUUGCGUAAGAAAGAAAAAGACUGCCGUAAGUUACAACAAGAAUUGACGCAGGAGAGAGAAAAAUACGGACAGUUGGCAGCUAAGUGGCAAAAAGAUCUUCAAGACUUACAGGCUCAACUUGUGGAGGAGAGCCAGGUAAGGCUGAGACUGCAGAUGGAGGUUGAUUCAAAGGAUUCUGAAAUAGAAACGCUACAGAUGAAAAUAGCGUCCAUGAAUUCAGAGACAGCGAGUCUUUCUUCAGCAGAAAAUGAUGGUGAAGAUGCUGUUUCGACAGAACACGGUGCCUUACGAUUAGAGGGUUGGCUGAGCGUACCUAACAAGCAAAAUAUCAAAAGACACGGGUGGAAGAAGCAGUACGUUGUUGUAUCAUCUAAAAAGAUAAUAUUCUACAACAGCGAGAACGACAAGAUGAAUGCGGAUCCAAUACUAAUUUUAGAUUUAAGCAAAGUCUUCCACGUUCGCUCCGUGACUCAAGGAGAUGUUAUACGAGCCGAUGCCAAAGAUAUUCCAAGGAUAUUUCAGUUAUUGUAUGCCGGUGAGGGUGAGGCAAGACGUCCGGGUGAUGAAAGUAAUGCGUUGCCAGGGGUAGAACUUCCACAGUUAAUGGAUAAGCCCGGUACCUUGUGGUUGAAAGGUCAUGAAUUCAUUUCUAUAACCUAUCAUAUGCCAACUACUUGUGAAGUAUGUACAAAACCGUUAUGGCAUAUGUUCAGACCACCUCCUGCUCAAGAAUGUCGAAGGUGUCGUAUCAAAGUACACAAAGAGCAUUUGGAAAAGAAGGAAGAUGCUAUAGCACCUUGUAAAUUACAUUACGAUCCAAAUAGUGCCAGAGAAUUAUUAGUUCUGGCUGGUAACACUGAUGACCAAAAGUAUUGGGUAACGAGGCUCUCCAGAAGAAUUCAAAAGUGCGGUUACAAAGCAAACUCCCACGUCGAUGGAACAGGGCAACGAGUUUCUCCAAGGUAGCGUAGGUGGACAGCUCAUCCAGGGACUUAGUAGCUCUUGUGUUGUGGCGUCGCAUGAUUGGGUGUAGAGAGGGAAUCUACAAGAUCAACGCUAAAGCCUUACUUGUCGGUUCCACAGCGAUCUGCCACUCUACCUGCCAACGCUAGUAUGGGCAAAUAAUCUUAAUGCGUUUUCCACAACGAUUUCAUGAAAACGAAAAUUUGAUUUUUUUUUUUACUUACAAUUUUCUUCAUAUAAAUAUAUCUAGAAUGAGUCUAACUAAAUCUCGAAACAGCGUACGACUUGCCUGUGGCAAAGUUUUGCUUCUUAGUCAAUCAGCUCAACAUUAUUCACAUGGGACAUCUUGAAGCAUAUGCCUUAAAUUUACUGAAUGGUCAUGAUUGACCAGUGUGAAUAGUUUGUGUGAUUAUCCGUACGUACAUGUGCAAACAGAGUGUCCAUUAUAGUUCUUUUUGAGUCAGUUUACAUGGCUAGAUACCGGAUUGGUUUAGCGGGUCGAUUAUUCAAACAACCAAGCGAAACCUAUUUUCACAGCUGGACAAACUCGUUCUGUAUAUAUUUAUUAUACAUAUUUUUGGCCGCUUUUUGUUUUCUUGUAAAUAUGUCACAUACAGAACGUGAACGUAUCUUUAAGUGCUGCUCCCCUCCUGCUCCCUCGCCUUCCUUCCCUUUCCACGUAGGAUUAUUGCGUAUGUGAUUUGUUAGAAGUCAAUGUUACAGCAGCUGCUUUACAAGGUUCUAUCGAUAGUUUCUAAUUAAGAAAUAACAGAGUUGAAAGACAUUUGAUAUUAAUUAAAUACAUUACAAAAUUUCAUUAACAAUAUUCUAGUGCAAAGAUUAUAUUUAUACGCAGGACGCAUCACACUCAAUUUAUUGAACGAUCGUCUUAUAUCAAUAUGCUCAUUGUCACUUCAGAUGUGAAUUCGGAAUUGAGAUAUUACAAACUACGAAUUGUCAAGUGUGAUAACAUUAUUCACAUUUAUUUUUUUAAUACCUUUGAAAUUUAUGUCCCAGUACUAGAUAACUUGCAUCUUCUUUAAGCUUAUUUCAUUUUUACCUUGCAUUUGCUUCGAACUCCAUCCUAUUCACAUAUUUAAUACAUUUU